GUUGAGGUGGCUCAGUGGUUAUGGCUUUGAGUUACUGAGCUGAAGGUUGUGUGUUCAAAUCCCAGCACCACCA